AUUGAACGCUGGCGGCAGGCCUAACACAUGCAAGUCGAGCGGAUGAGUGGAGCUUGCUCCAUGAUUCAGCGGCGGACGGGUGAGUAAUACCUAGGAAUCUGCCUGGUAGGUGGGGGACGAACGUUUCGUAAAGGAACGCUAAUACCGCAUACGUCCUACGGGAGGAAAGCAGGGGGCCGUUCGGGCCGUUGCGCUAUCAGAUGAGCCUAGGUCGGAUUAGCUAGUAGGUGAGGUAAUGGCUCACCUAGGCGACGAUCCGUAACUGGUCUGAGAGGAUGAUCAGUCACACUGGAACUGAGACACGGUCCAGACUCCCUACGGGAGGCAGCAGUGGGGGAAUAUUGGACAAUGGGCGAAAGACCUGAUCCAGCCAUGCCGCGUGUGUGAAGAAGGUCUUCGGAUUGUAAAGCACUUUAAGUUGGGAGGAA
rnacentral:rRNA from 1 species